rnacentral:rRNA from 1 species
CCUACGGGAGGCAGCAGUGAGGAAGAUUGGUCAAUGGGCGCGAGCCUGAACCAGCCAAGUAGCGUGAAGGAUGACUGCCCUACGGGUUGUAAACUUCUUGUAUAAAGGAAUAAAGUGAGGCACGUGUGCCUUUUUGUAUGUACUGUAUGAAUAAGGAUCGGCUAACUCCGUGCCAGCAGCCGCGGUAAUACGGAGGAUCCGAGCGUUAUCCGGAUUGAUUGGGUUUAAAGGGAGCGUAGCUGGGUUGUUAAGUCAGUUGUGAAAGUUGGCGGCUCAACCGUAAAAUUGCAAUUGAUACUGGCAGUCUUUCUUACAGUUGAGGUAGGCUGACUUCGUGGUGUAGCGG